GUAAUGCUCUCAAGUUCUUUUUGUUCAAGAUUUUUUGUUGGGAGUUGCUAUUGGUGUAUUUAGUUAUUCCAUAUGAAUUUAAGGAUUGUUUAUUACUGUGAACAAUGACUUUAGAAUUUUGACAGGGAUUGUAUUGACUCUGUCACUGGAUUUGUGUAGUUUAGACUUUUUAAUGAUAUUAAUUCUUUCAACCUAUGAACACAAGAUACUUUUCCAUUUAUUUGUGUUUUCUUUAAUUUCUUUCAUCAGUGUUUUAUAUUUUUCUUUUUUUCAUGCGACUUGUUUUAUUGCAAUAUUGUUUUAUAUGUUUCACUAUACAGGUUCUUGAACUUCCUUGGUCAAAUUACAUCAAAGUGUUUUUAUUGUUUUUUGUUGCUAUUGUAAAUGUGAUUAUUUUUGUAAUAUCUUUAUUAGUAUGGAAUCUAUUGAUUUUUCUCUGUUGUUGAUUUUGUAUCUUGCAACUUUACUGCAUUUGUUAUCAGUUCUAAAUUUUGGGGAUAGAAUAUUUGUAUUUUCUAAAUGUAAUAUUAUUUCAUCAGUAAAUAGAAACAAUUUUACUUCUAUGUUUCCUGUUAAAAUGCCUUUUAUUGUUUCUUUUUCUCCUAGGCUAAGUCUGCCUUUUCUCCACAGAAUGGCCAUAGAAUAGCUGAUAUUCAUUUUCAAAGAAACAAAAUUUUGGCUGUUAGCUUUGUGAGUAAAGAUACAUAGACUAAUAAUGAAAACCCACAUAGCUGAUUUUAUUAUUCUCUAAUCUUGAAGCCCGUAAGUAGUUCUGGACUUAAGGAACAUAAACACUGAUGUAAGUAAAUAUCAACAAUGUACAUAAACAUCAAUGUUGAUCUUCUGGGCUUCGAUGGUGUUCAUUCACUGUAGCCCACUAAAUUAUUUCAAUAAAAAAAAUGGUUGAAUAAGACAUAAAGUUAGGGAAGGCCAGUCAUGGCCUAUAAUUAGAAUGGGUCAUGAAGAAAAAUUUAUGCUUAUUUGAACCCAAUCCAGCGGAGAAUGUUAAGAGAUGGAAGGCAUUUCACAUAUUGUCAGAGUAAUUUAAAUUCUCAUUGCAUGUUUUUGCUACAGUUGUUUAAUAUAUUUUUUCAGUGACAAAUAUCUGAAUUGCUAGUUUUUUGAGGCAGUUAGCAUAUGUCAAUUUUCUCAAUUGUGGGCUAAGGUGGGAGGCUUUGGUUGUUGAUUACACCAGCAUUAAUAAAUAGACAACUCUAGUGAAAGUGGUGCAAAUAGACACCAAUCAUAAGCUUGGGAUUGACAUGUAGGAAGGAUGCUGAUUAAUCCAUAUGUGUAAACCUGAGGUUCAUAAAAAAAAAGUGACCCAGUCUAUUUUCUGUGCAUGAAAGGGAGUAAUGAACAGAUCUUGGUUCUAUUAAAGCCUUUUGUUCUCAGUUUUGUGUCAUUACAGGGUAUUGAUCCUAUAAUUAUCAUUUAUGAAACCAUGAAUGGCUGAGUCAAUUCAAGAAGGUAUAAAUGAAUGAAGAAAUAGAAAGUCAAGCCUGGAUCAGUGAUGAGUAUUGAUGGAGGCGUCUGAAUCAAUACCUUUGAUUAAGCCCUCUGUUUACUCUGAGAUCUGUUACUGAAUGAGAAACAGCCAAUAUUCCAUGUAAUAGAAGUUAGGAAAAUUCAGUAAACUUUUCUUGGACUUUCGUGGUUAUAAGAUAUGGAAUGUAUUAUUUUAAAUGAAUCACGCAUGCAUAAAUUAAUAGAGAAGUAUAUAUAUGAAAGAAGAUGAACAGACCUAUUCAAGGAGGAAUUUUUUGAAUGGAGUACAAUAAGUAUUAUUAAUGUUUUAUUAAUAUUAUUAUUAAUAUUUUAUUAAUAUUAAUACAACAAAACAAGUGUAAUUAUUAAUCUGAAGUAAAAUUGUUUUGCAUGGACGCUAUUAGUAUCUUCGUUGAGAGACAAUUCUUUUUAAAUUAAGAAAAGUGUUUGCAUAAGCCAAUAAUUAUUAUGUAACUGUCCACUUAAUAGUUGUUUAUAUAGCAGAUAUUUGUAAUCAUAGAUCUUAUUCUUGGGUUAGGUGGUAUAUAUACUUAUUGUAUUAUAAGUUAAGUAACACUGUAUUAUUUAAAACUGAAAGUUCAAUAUAGGGCUAAUAAAAAUUAUAUUCUUGAGCAACUUUUUUAUUACUCAAUAUCUGUUUGACUGAGAUGUAUUCAAAAAUAUCUAAAUCUAUUUUAAACUUACUUUUUCCUCCCUAGAGUGAACAUAAGAUAGCUGACUUAACCAUUCAGUGAAGGAAUUUAUCCUGAGUAAGGGGCAUAUAGACUAAUGUAAGUAAUAAGUACCUGAUUUUAUGUUCUUGUUUUGAAUGGCUUGCUGAAGGAUUUCAAAGUAAUAAAUGUUUAUUUACAUGAAAUAAAUAAAAUAUUCCAUGUAUGAAGUAAGUAUAAUACUCCAAGUAUGUGUUGUUAAUCACAAACUAUGUUUAAUCUAAAUUAGCAUAACUGAAGCAUUUUUUAAGAAGAUAGAAGUUAUUUAACUUACUCUCAGAGGAGUUUAUUAUUAUUCUUUAUUUUAUGCCAUGGUUGAUUUCCCUUUGGGUGGAGAUACUAGCUGAUAGUUCCUUCAUGGUAGCCUGUAAGACUAUGAAUUGCAUGGUGAGUGUUUUGGAGGUGAGAGAAGAUGCUGGUUUCAUUAUUUUUCAUUUAACCAUUUUGACAAGACUAUGAAGUUCAGUGCUCUCGUGUUUGAGAUUUUUGAUUAUGUUAUGUGUGAAUUGAUAAAUUAAUCAAUAAGUGAAACAAAAAUGUCUAUCAUGGAAAGUGAUGAAUAUCAUGCAGCUUCUGAACAAAAGAUUCUGAUUAAGCCUAUCUGGAACUCUGAGGUCCAUUAUUCGAAAAAAAAAGAUACCUUAUUAUUCUUUGAGGGAAAUGAAUAUAAGACCCUUGUUCAUAUGCCUUUGUGAUUUGAAGAAUGAACAUGUUCUUCUCAAUUGAGUUAUUAUCUUCUGGUGAAGAUCCUGCCUUGUACUUCUAUGAAUUAGAAGAGAAGAGAUCCACAAUGGGCAUACUAGAUUGGAUUUGUCACUCCCCUGUGAUGAAGAAUAUGGCUAAUGCUUCACUGGUCUCAAUGUGUAUUUUUCAUGCUUUUGAAAGUUUGUAUCUGACUGCACAGAAUGAACACCAUGGCUGAUUUUUAAUCAGUCUCUACUUGGCUGUUAUCCUUUGUGGGUAUUGAUCUGGGAAUAGAUAUUACUGCACAGAUAUUACUGCCAGUGAGUCAAUGAAUGGGUCAAUAAACAAAAGUAUAAAUGAAGAAAACGUUUGCUUAUCUUGGAUCUAUGAUGAGUACCCUGGGGUGUCUGAAUCAAAGAUUUUGAUUAAACCCUGUAACUCUGAGGUCCAUUGCAAAACGAUUCCUGUUCGUCAUCAUCAUGGGAAAAUGGACGCACAAUAAUCCAAUCAUUCUCUAGUGAGAAAGAUCUUGGUUAUUAUCUUUUUGAAAAAAAUAUAUAGAAACCUGUAAGUAGCAAAGUAAUUGCUUCUGGAUUGGUGAUUUUUUAAUGCAUGUUAAAUCUAUUAUUGCAAAGGAAUAAAUGGCUACACAUAAACAUAAAAAGAAGAAAAGUUAUGUGUGGAUUAAUUCAGCACAUCUAUAUUCAAUUAAUUUCAAAAACGUAAGACCAUUUUGUUCACUUUUAUAGUUAAUUAUUAGUUAAUUGAUUAAUGUAAAAAUUGAUCAUUCAAUUUUAUUUUAGUCACAAUUGUGUUAAGUCUCCCUCUAUUUAUAAAGAUAUACUUUAGUGACAUGCCAAGAUGUAAAAUACUGUCAAUAUUUUGUGUGUGGAGUAAAAUGGUGGGUUUGUAGUUGUUUAUUGUCAUCUCUAAAAUACAGACAAAGUAAAUGGAAGAUGAUGAAGCCAUAACCAAUUAAGAGUAUGGGAUUGGUAUGAAUUGGAGAUGAUUAUUAAUCUAUUAAUCUGAUAAACUGAAUGUAUUACACAAUGGGAAUUAUGUUUUCACCUCUUUAAGAGAUGAUUUAUGGAGAGGUGUUAGUAUAGUCUAAUUUCUUGUUGUUGGGUUUUUAUGAUUCUUAAGUAUUGAUUAUACUAUUAAUACAAUCAUUGAAACGUAAGCAAAUAUAUAAACGAAGAAUGACAUAUUAAAUGGGGACCACUGAUGGGGUUUUGUUGGUGUGAAACAAUGAUUAUUAAACAUAUACAUCUUAUUAUGAAACUUUACAUCCCCCAACUCCUCCUUAAGUGACUGAGUCAAUACAACAAUGUAUAAAAGAAAGAAGCAAAGAACCUAUUAUAGGCAAAUAUCAUGAAUAUUUCUGAUGGACUGAGGCCCAUGAAAAUAUUAACAAAUGAAGCAUGUUAUGUUUUGGAUGAGGAGCCUGUGGACAGAUUUUUGUAAUAGUCUAUGUGCUUGGUUUGAUUAUAGGGUAAAUUGGUAGUUUUUUAUAUUAAUAAUAUAUAAGUAAAAAGAUAUUAAAUAAAUAAGUAAAAGAUUAACCUGCUAACUAAACAAAAGAGGGCCAAAGUAAUGCCCAAUAAGAAGCAUAUGUUUCAGUUCCAUGUAAUUGUUGUCCUGAUAGGAAAUAAAAUCCAGGCUCUGUCCACUUUGAGGAUUAAAUAUUUAGACAGAUGAAUGUUACAUUUUAGUUCUUAGUUGCUGGCUUUUUACCCUGUUCACACAAUAACUAAGAAAAUGCCAGGAAGGCUAUAUUAACCAGUGUGAUGAAAAUGUGUCAAACUGUUUAUAAAACCAGUGUAUAGUGCCCCAUAAUCACAUUAAUGUACACAGCUAUGAUUUAAAAUUAAUAAAAAAAGAGAAAAAAAGAAAUGCAGGUAGAUGAUUUAAUUAAUCCAUCAGGACAUAUAUACCUACAAAGGUAUACAUACUUAUACAUCAUAAACAAGGGAAACUGUAGACCAUUGAUGAGACUGUUCUAUGAAAUAAUCAUUUGUAUAUUUUGCCCCGAAUAUUGUACACUUUUUUGUCUAAAUUUUUGAGGGAAAAAUUAAGAUGUCCAUUAUACAUUGGUAGCACUACUUGUUCCUUACUGGUACAUAAAAUUUCUUGUACCUGUGCUUUGUAAUUGUUACAUCAAUUUUCUUGUACCAUCUUAUGUUAAAAAAUAAAUACUAGAAUUCCUUUAUAAUAUAAACAAGUAUCUAAAUAGAAUCAAAUACAAAUUCAAAUUAAAAAAUUAAAAUGGAUUUUUUUCUUGAAUGUUUGGGCCCGAAAUGUAGAUGCAUAUUAUGCACAGUAAAAUAUGGUAGAUUAAUUCUAUUUAAACAUAGUCCAUUUAAAAGUUGACCUAAAUUAUUGUCUCCUACAUCAAGAGGGGGCAUGGAGACUAUUAUCCAUUUUAGUUACAGUUAUUUUUCUUGCUCUGGGUGAUGGAAUUUAUUGUACUUAUUAGUGUAUUAAAAAUUAUCUUUAAGCUAACUAUAGGCCAAUCAUAAGCAAGUUCUAAAAUUCAUAAGCUACCAAAGAUUUCAAUUAAUCCACUAACACAGGGUAUCCAUAUAAAGCAAAAAAUUCUUCGUUGUUUUCAACAUCUGCUUUGUAAUUUACAGAAUUAUAUAUGUGUAUCAGGGCUGAUUUAAAUCACUUUCCACUGAUGAUCAUUUUGGUGGUUACUUAUAUGGGUAUGGAAUAAGCUGAGGUAAGUAAUUCUUAAGUUAAUAACAAGUAUGUGUUAAUAAAUUUUUAUUUAAUUAUUGUAAGUGGAUCAUUGACAGAAGCAAUAAAUAAAUAAAUAUAUAUAAAUUUUGUUAAAAGGGUAAAGUAUUGCUCUACUAUGAAUAUAUGUGGCUAGUCAAGAAAUAGAGAAGACUGUAGUUUUAAAAAACGUGCGGAUAAAGAAUAUAUUGUCUGUUUGUCUAUGAGUUUUAAAAGCACUGAAUAUAAGAAAUAGUCAAUUAGUAUUCUUGUACAGUUAAGUUUAUUAAGACAGAUUAAGAAAUACCUAAAUUACAGUGAAAAUGAAAGGGUAUUACAAGGUCUAAUGAAGAUAAGUUACCAGUUAUUAACAUCUGGUCUGCUUUAUACUCUUCAGAAUGUAUGCUCCAAUCUGUUGUGAGCACUGUGCCAUGACCUCGAGCCCUAUGGCUGUCUCUAAGGGUUGUGACAAAGAUUCCUAAUGGCUGUUCCCAAAUUGAUUUAAGCACUCGUCCGUGUAGUGAUGAACUCUAUGAUUGUGUCUAUGUGCUGUGAGCAUAGAGACCAACGUGACUAUAGAGGAUAUUACAUAUAUUAACAAGAUGGCCUUAGUAUACUUCAAGAAAGCCAACCAUGACUGAAUGAUAAAUAUGUGAUUAUACAAAACAUUGUAUGAGGCCCAAGCUUGGACCAAUAUUGAUGACGGGUCACCAUCAAUAAGAAAUCCCAGAUGAUGAAUAAUAUGUUUGAAAUUGAGCGGUCCAAAACAAAAGAAAAUCUCACCUACUGACUCUAUUGGAAAUGAUACUUAGAUGUUAAGUAAUGGAUUGGCCCAGGCUAGAGUGAGCAAACUGAAGUGAUCACAUUCUCCACUGUUGCCUCUGGGUAGGGACCAAGAGAAGAAUAAUGGACAAACUGGAGCUGACUGUUCUACCAGUUAUAAGAUGGUGGUUGCUGCUGUGUGUUUGGUGUAUAGAAGCCAAGACUGGACACACACGAACUUGUGUGUUAUGUUCAUGAUCUCCAUGAUUACCUCCUUGUUAGGUGCAUUAAGUCUGUGGUGAGUAAUAAUCAAAGUUCUUGACUUAGUUUGGGUGGUUUAUUUAGGGUAUUUAGUGUAAUAUUUAAAAAGUUUAUUUACUAUAUUGAUAAAAGGUUAACCAUGGCUUACUGAUAAGUAUAUAAUUGAUGUCCAACAUUAUGUUGAUUAAUCAAUAUUUGUAGCAAUGAGUGUGAUUAAAGAAAGAAGUACAUUCAAUGUAGAAAAUGCUUCUAUAUAUAGAUGUUAUGGAUACUUAAAGAUCUUGUCCUUGAGUUUUUGAUUCACAUAUAUUUUGUUAUUUUUUAGUGAAUUAAUACAUUGAUUAGUAGAUGAUAAUGAAAAAAGUAGUCUCAAUCCUGAACCAAUAUUAUUAAUGAAUUAAUCAAUGAACAAUGAGGAAAUGAAAGAAGAGAAAGGGGGCCUUGUCUGGACCACUGAUGAUGAAAACUGCCGGCGUUUGAGUCUUGGAUGAUGAAUAAUAUGUGUCUGGAACUCUGAGGUCCAAAGUGAAAGCAAUCUAGUCUACCCCCUGUGGAUGAUCUUAUAGAAAGAUGUCAGGCGAAUAUAAUGACCUGUUCUUGUCUUUGUUUUCAUGAAUUUUAAGAAAUAUUUUAAUUCAGGUAGCAAUGGCAGAACCCAUAAACAUUUCUUUUUUUUUUUUAUUGUUGGGGAUUCAUUGAGGAGAACCCAUAAACAUUUCUAUAAAUGAAUAAAGAUGAGAGGGGAAGUAUGAUAUAAUUUUAAAAUGUAUAGUAAGAAAAAAUAAUAGUUACAUAAGUUAACAUCAAUGAUAGGUAAGUUAGUGUAUUCUAUCUUUAACUAAAGGUGAUUUUGACAGGACAAUGAUAAGUAAGAGUUAUUGCUCCGAAUCAGUUUGAAAUUUAAGAGAGCAUUAAUAAAUACCACCAUUAAUUAUAAUAAUAAAUACCUAAGUGACUACGUAAAUGAGUGAGGAAGGCAUGGGUCAACAGAGAGAACGUCUUAGUAUUUUUAUUAUCUUCUCUGCUUUACACUCUUCAGAAUGGAUAAACGGAGCAAUUUAACAUUCUGCUUUGAUCAAGAUUAAGUUGCCUCUUUGUAGAAAUGAAACCAAUACACAACUGAGCUGAUUCAAGCAUUUAUGGUCAUGAGAUCUGUGGUUUCUGUUUGUUAGGAGCACAGACACCAAUCAGAAUGGACACACCUGAACUGACUGAAAACUUGGCUGUGUUCUGAAGCUUCAUGUUUGUUCCUGUGUAAUGGAUAUACUGGCAUCAGUAUUAUGUUGCCUCUGUGUUAAUCCAAUGAUGGACAUGUCCAAGCUGAUUUUUGCAUUAUUCUCUGGACAUGAAGUCUACAGUUCACUCUAUACGUUAGAAGUUUGAGGACCAAUAAAUUAUCACCGUAUAAUUAAAAAGCUUGGAAUAUAAUUGGUGGAGGCUUCCUGCUAUUCAGAGAUCUGUCAUGGUCACCUACUCCAGUCUAUGGUUUUCCUCUAUGCAAUAGGAGCAUGGAGACCACUAAUGGAUGCAUUCAAGGUGAUUUACUCACUCUUCUAUGGUCACAAACUAUGGUUGCAUCUACAUGUUAGGAGCAUAAUGAGUGGUAAUGGAUGCAUCGAUCUAAUUUAAGAAUUUUGCUUUCAUCAAGACUUGUUUAUCAUUGUUACUGAACGGACUAAUGUAAUAGUCAAAGUUGUAGUGUGGUUUGUUUAAGGGUAUUUACUGUAUUAUUAACAAAAUAUAAAAUAUAGUCAAAUAGGGCCAAAUGCAGUUCAGUAACAAGUGUGGGAGUAUUACAUAAAGCAUCUCUUGGAUUAAUAAAUAUGUGAAAAAUGGAUACUAAUUAUUUAAAGAUAUAUAUGAGUAAUGUGAAAAUGAUUUUAUAUAUAUAUAUACCUAUAAGCAGUUACUAAUGCUAUAAUUGAAUUGUGUGAAUUAUAGGCUUUUUAUGAGUAUUAGUGGAUUAAAAAAAUAAAGUAGCAUUGCAUGAAGAGAAAGUGGGCCUUUCCUGGACCAAUGAUGAGAAUUGCAGGCAUAUGAGUCUUGGAUGAUGAAUAAUAUGUGUCUGGAACUCUGAGGUUCAACACAAAAGAAAUCUGGUCUUUCUUUUCAUGCAGUUUUAUUUUAUUCUUUUAAUUGCAUCAAUAAAAGAAUCAAUAGACAAACAUACAAAUAAAAAUGACUCUUUGAAGCAUUGUCUAAUUGUAAAAAUAGGUGGUGAGGCAAGAAAUAAUAUUGAUAAAUAUGGAAAACUCUGAAGUCCACAGGGAAAUAGUGUAUAUAAAUAAUUGUUAUCUCUUUGGCUAAGUAUGCUGUUGACAUACUUAGGUAAAUAUGAAUAUUCAUAUUAUAGUUCAAUAGCAAGAUUAAUAUUGUUAGUUUACAUAGGAGAAAAUAAACAUUAACCAAGUUACUAAUUAUAUAUAACUAAAUAAAUAAAAGGAGAUAUUCAAGAAACAAUAGUAAUGAUAUUACAACCUUUUAAAGUCUUUGCUUUGCUCUGUAAUCUUCAGAAUGGAUGCACUGGAGUUGAUUCAAGCAUUCCUCUAUGGUCACAAACUCUAGGACUAUGACAAGCCAUGUGGAAUGGAUGCACCAAGUGGAUUUAAGCAUUCUGCUAUGAUGGAGACUUGUAUUGCUGUUGUGUUUGGAAAGAGAACAAAACCCGCCUGAGCUGAUUAGACAAUCUGCCCUGAUUGUGAACACUAUGGUUGCAUCUGUAAUAAGAAGCUGGAGAUCAAUCAUGAAUGAUUUCAAGGUGACUUAAUAAUUCUUCCAUGGCCACCAGCCCUGUGGUCGCAGCUCUGUGUGGGACCAAUAAUGGAUAGUUCCGAGGUGGUUCGAGCACUCUUCAUGCUUUCCAGCCCAUUAGCUGCAUCUCUGGGUUAGAAUGUGAAGAUCAAUAAUGAAUGCACCAAGCUCAGUUAAACGUUUUGCUGUGAUCAAGAUCGAUAUGCUGCCUCUGUGUUAGGAAAGAGAUCAAGAUAAGUUAUAGUCAAACUUCUUGUCGUGGUGCGGGUCAUUUGUCUGAGGCCAUUUGUGUAUUAUUAUAAAAAGUAUUAAAUUACUCAGGAAUAUGGGAGAAACAAGCUUAAGAGAUGUGUUGUGCAAUAUGGUGACUAUAUAAUCAUAGUAUAUUGUAUUCUUAGAAAAUGCUGAGUGAAUGUUUAAGUGUUCUUACCAUAGAAUAGCUAUAUGAUGUAAUUCUUAACGUUAACCAACUAGAUUUAGUUUUUCUACCAUAUGUAUACUUCAAAAUAUCAUGCUGUACCUGAAAAAUACAUAUAAUUUAAUCUGUCAUUUUAAAUAAAAAUGUAAACAUAUUAAAUUAAAAACUUAACCAUGGAUUAUUGACAAGUAUGAUAUGAGACAUUGCAUUAUUCAUUCUAUUAUAUAUGACAUUUAGGUCAAUUAAUGAAAGAAAUACAAUCUAUACCGAAAACAAUUCUAUAGACAGAUCUUAUAGAUAUUUUAGGACUUUGUUGAGUUUUUUGAACUAUUUGUUUUUAUUAAUAUCAAUAAAGUAAUCAUUUAAUUGAAAAUGUAGGAACAAAUGAAGAAAGUGAGACCCAGUCAUGGACCAAUGAUGACAAGUGGUGGCAUUUGAGUCAUGGAUGAUGAAUAAUAUGUGUCUGAAACUCUGAGGUCCAACACAAAACCUAAUUAGUCUCUUCCUUUUUUUGAAUUGACUCUAUGGAUGAAUGUCAGGAAUGUAUAAAGACAAUUAUCUUGCAUUGAUUCAGUUUAUUUAGAUUUAUUAUUAUCAGUAGAUCAGUGAUAGAUUCACUAAACUAAUAUAAAUUAAUAAAUAAAGAAGAGGGCCAACCUUUGACUACCUAUAAACAUGUGUGUGGGUGAGAAAUAUUAAUAAAAAUUGAAACCACCAAUGGCCAUUUAGAAAUAAAU